UACGUAGGGGGCAAGCGUUGUCCGGAAUCAUUGGGCGUAAAGAGCGUGUAGGCGGUUCGGUAAGUCGGCUGUGAAAGUCCAGGGCUCAACCCUGGGAUGCCGGUCGAUACUGCCGGACUAGAGUUCGGAAGAGGCGAGUGGAAUUCCCGGUGUAGCGGUGAAAUGCGCAGAUAUCGGGAGGAACACCUAUGGCGAAGGCAGCUCGCUGGGCCUGACCUGACGCUGAGGAGCGAAAGCGUGGGGAGCGAACAGG
rnacentral:rRNA from 1 species